rnacentral:tRNA from 1 species
UAGUUUUUGGUGUAAAUGCACAAUAAAUUUUGAUUUUAUAGGAAAUAAUUAUUAAUUAUUAAAACUAA